AGCUCAUCUAGAAGGGUGGAGGGACUAGGCCCUGCGAAGCCCUGGCAACCGCCUUCGCCUCCGGCGAGGAAAGGUGCCAAAUCCUACUCCGGUAUCGGACCGAUCCGGUAUCGAGAGAAAGAUGAGCG
rnacentral:ncRNA from 2 species